CAGCGAAUCCGCCGCGCGAAUUGUUUUCCUCAGGUGGUGGGUUUAUGCCGCAGGAGCCCAAGUCGGCGAGACGACUGUGCGGCACUGGGACUCGGCCCCGCACCCUUCUUCCCCUGUUGUUGGGCUGUGUGACUUUUUCCUUCCGUUGGCGCCGAAGGGAACUUGCUGCUGGGCGGGCGGAGAGGUCAGCCUGCUGGCGGGGCCGGGGAGUGCGAGGCGCUCCCGAGAGGGUAGGAACCCAGGAGGUCGCCGACUCUCCUCGAGCGCCGGGUUUCUCCUCUGCCAACAGAGGAGUACUCCUCGUUUUGCCUAGUUGUUGUGCUCUCGUGCAGUUAAUUGUACAGUACUUCGGUUCGAACAGCAGCUUUGUUAAAUGGGCAAUGCUCCUACCCUGAGCGUCACCUGCCGAUGGGGAAACAGGCUCGGGAGAAUAAAUGAACCGUCUUAAAUGACAAACUGUGUGAAAGUCAGAAUUCUAACUCCGGCUUUCUGAGAUCACGCUGCCACCCCAGCAGAGGAGCAAAUUACAGUCUCGAGCCCACCAGGAAUGGCAGCCCCAUCUAUGAAAGAAAGGCAGGCUUGCUGGGGAGCCCGGGAUGCAUACUGGAAGUGCUUAGAUGAGAACACAGAGGACGCUUCUCAGUGCAAGAAGUUGAGAAGCUCAUUUGAAUCAAGUUGUCCCCAGCAGUGGAUAAAAUAUUUUGAUAAAAGAAGGGACUACUUAAAAUUCAAAGAAAAAUUUGAAGCAGGAGAGUUCCAGCCUUCAAGAACAACUGAAAAGUCCUAAGCUAUUCCUGAACGUUUCAGAAAGGUUGAAUUAAUUUUUUUGGACAUUGAGAAAUGCUCUAUGGGACAAUAGUAAUUUGAAUUAUGGUAAACACCAGUGCUUGUUCCAUCUAUACAGCUCUUAAUUAAAGUGAUCAAGUAACAAGAUUCCAUUAUUCAAAGUAUGAAGAAUUGAAAUAAAAUGAUAUGAAAUAUGCUAAGUAUAGUAAAAAAUAUUUUAAGAGAAAAAUUAAAGCUUAUAAAAAC
rnacentral:lncRNA from 1 species